CCAACGGCUCUUUUCAGAGCCACCCGCCAUCUCUUUAACCGAAGAGU
rfam:Nipponia nippon contig68307, whole genome shotgun sequence.